AUUGGGAAAUGAUGAACCAUUUGAAAAUAAUCCGAGGCAUUUUGCCAUGUGCUUAUGCCCUUGUUGAAUUAUUGCACGUCAGUCUGAUCCCACG
rnacentral:snoRNA from 1 species